rnacentral:tRNA from 1 species
GCCUUGGUGGCUCCGAGGCGAGAGCGCCGGCCUACGGAUCCCCAGGUCGCGGAUCCGUAGGUUCGAACCUCGGUCGGGAUUCGGGUUCGAAUCCCGACCGAGGUG